rnacentral:rRNA from 1 species
UGGGGAAUAUUGCACAAUGGGCGCAAGCCUGAUGCAGCCAUGCCGCGUGUGUGAAGAAGGCCUUCGGGUUGUAAAGCACUUUCAGCGAGGAGGAAGGUGGUGAGCUUAAUACGCUCAUCAAUUGACGUUACUCGCAGAAGAAGCACCGGCUAACUCCGUGCCAGCAGCCGCGGUAAUACGGAGGGUGCAAGCGUUAAUCGGAAUUACUGGGCGUAAAGCGCACGCAGGCGGUUUGUUAAGUCAGAUGUGAAAUCCCCGGGCUCAACCUGGGAACUGCAUUUGAAACUGGCAAGCUAGAGUCUCGUAGAGGGGGGUAGAAUUCCAGGUGUAGCGGUGAAAUGCGUAGAGAUCUGGAGGAAUACCGGUGGCGAAGGCGGCCCCCUGGACGAAGACUGACGCUCAGGUGCGAAAGCGUGGGGCAGCAAACAGGAUUAGAUACCCUGGUAGUCCAGCGCUGUAAAACGAUGUCGAUUUUGGAGGUUGUGCCCUUGAGGCGUGGCUUCCGGAGCUAACGCGUUAAAUCGACCGCCUGGGGAGUACGGCCGCAAGGUU